UGGGAGUCUAUUCUGCUAGCAGCCUUCAAAUGAAGAUAUAGAGCUCUCAGCUCCUCCUGCAUCAUGCCUACGUAGAUGCUGCCAUGCUCCUGCCUUGAUGAUAAUGGACUGAACCUCAGAACCUAUAUGCAGCAUGAUUGCUCUAUAGCACAUAUCCAGAACAUCAGGCUGGACUUGACUGACAAACGCUGGCCAAACACAGAAGGCCUCUACUUCACGGAUGGGAGCAGCUUCAUCCAGAAUGGAAUCAUGUUUGCAGGGGCAGAGGUGUCUUUUCAGGAUGGGCAGAAGCCUACCCUACAAAGAAGGAGAGUACCAAUGUAGUGGCAGAGAGGCUUCUGGAAGACAUUAUACCCAGGUGACAAAGUCUGGAUUAAGCGGCAUAACCACAAGGCUUUGGAACCUUGCUGGAAAGGGUCUGACACUGUGAUCCUGACCACACCUUUGACUGUUAAGGUGGAUGGGAUCAGGAUGUGGAUACACCUCCCAUGUUCAG
ensembl:lncRNA